CAACAUUGUCACAGGAGCCACAGGUAAAUAGGCUGGAAAACAAAAGAGAACCUCAACCAGAAGUAAAUACCCAGUUGAGAUUAUCCAGACUGCGUGAAGAGGCAAAUGUACCAAGUUCUCCAGAAUCUCCUUUUGCUUAUAUAAAUGCUGAUACUCCCACGGUUUUUCGGAGCCUGAAGGAUUAAUAGAGGAAGAAAUCAUUAUCGAAAUAAACAGGGAAACAAUAUUGAAUGAUAUGCAGCGAAUUUAUGGAACAACAGAACUCCUCAACAAAAAGCUUAAAAUGUUUUAUUGGAGAAGAAGGGCAUG